rnacentral:lncRNA from 1 species
AUAAAAACACAAUUGGCUACACAUUUUUGAUAAAUUUAAAGUUACAUAGAUAUGUUAAACUAUCAUCUAUUAUGAAACAAAAACAAUCAUCUAAAACAUUACCUAUAUUGAAACGAAGGGAGUAUAUUUAAAAUGAUACAUAAUUGUAAAUGGGCAUCAACUUCAGAAGAAAAUAAAAAGUGACAUUUAUUGAAUUCAAAAAUGCAUUUUCUUAUAUAAAUACAUAUGUUAUAGUAUUCCUGCAACCAGAAAUGUAAUAUUAUUAAAAUAAAAAAUAAAAUUCAUUGUUAUAAUAUCUCCUCUUAAAUAUAUAAGUAUAUGUUCUUUAUUCAC